CCUACGGGAGGCAGCAGUGGGGAAUUUUCCGCAAUGGGCGAAAGCCUGACGGAGCAACGCCGCGUGAGGGAUGAAGGCCUCUGGGCUGUAAACCUCUUUUAUCAAGGAAGAAGAUCUGACGGUACUUGAUGAAUAAGCCACGGCUAAUUCCGUGCCAGCAGCCGCGGUAAUACGGGAGUGGCAAGCGUUAUCCGGAAUUAUUGGGCGUAAAGCGUCCGCAGGCGGCCCUUCAAGUCUGCUGUUAAAAAGUGGAGCUUAACUCCAUCAUGGCAGUGGAAACUGUUGGGCUUGAGUGUGGUAGGGGCAGAGGGAAUUCCCGGUGUGGCGGUGAAAUGCGUAGAUAUCGGGAAGAACACCAGUGGCGAAGGCGCUCUGCUGGGCCAUCACUGACGCUCAUGGACGAAAGCCAGGGGAGCGAAAGGGAUUAGAUACCCCUGUAGUCCUGGCCGUAAACGAUGAACACUAGGUGUCGGGGGAAUCGACCCCCUCGGUGUCGUAGCCAACGCGUUAAGUGUUCCGCCUGGGGAGUACGCACGCAAGUGUGAAACUCAAAGGAAUUGACGG
rnacentral:rRNA from 1 species